GGUUGUGUGGUAGAGUAGUACUACAGGCUCGCACCAGUGCCUUACACUUGAUACGGAGUGUACGAAACAAUAGAGCACGACCCCGGUUCGAGUCCGGGCUUAGCCG